UGUUGGCCAGGCUGGUCUUGAACUCCUGACCUCGUGAUCAACCCACCUCGGCCUCCCAAACUGCUGGGAUUACAGGCAUGAGCCACCGCGCCCGGCCUGUGAGGGGGAAUUCUUAUAAUCCACAUAAAACAUCUAGCCAGGAUCCCCCAGUCUUUCGGCAUUCACCCAUUCAUUCAUUUGUCCAAUAUGGAAAGCCUACUAUGUGCCAGGUAUUAUGAAGUGUUGGGGAUACGGCAGUGAGCAGAAGAACCCAAUCCCCCACCAUCAGGAAGCUGACAUUCUCAUGAGGGUGACCAGUAAAUACUAAGUUGGUAUAUUAUAUGAUGUCAGUGUUAUAGUCUUUAGGGAAGGAAACAGGCUAAGGGGACAGAGUGACUGGGAUGCUGUUUUAGAUAAGGGUGGUCAGACCAGGCCUCACUGAGGAGGUGAGGAGGUGAGGAGGUGAUAUCUGAGCAGAGAUCUUAAUGGAGGGAGGGAGCCGUUGGGGGAAGGACAUUCCUGGAACAGCAAAUGCAAGGGCCCUGGGCGAGGUGUGCUCUUGGCAAGCUCAAGGAAGACCUGGUGUGACUGGAGCACAGUGAGUGAGAGAAAGGGGUAGGAGAUGUAGGAGAUGGUUCUCAGGUGGCCAGGCAAUGAAGUAGGACCUUGUAGGCCAUGAGGGGGAAGGUCAGGUGCAGUUCUAAAUGUGUAAGAAAGCCUUGGGUAAUGUGGAGCAGGGAGUGGUGUGAUUUCUCAAUUAAAGAAAGCCCACAGGAACCACCAGCAACUCCUGGGCUUUCCGACUGGGAGCCUGGGCGGCCAAACAGCAGCAAGGUCCUGCCCACAAGGGAGGGGAGACUGGGCGAGUGUAUAUACCAAACAGGUUAGGGAAGCUGAUUAAAAUCUCCUCAGGGCCUAACUGGGAAAGGCCAGAGGAAGCUGGAGAUUGGAGUAG